rnacentral:tRNA from 1 species
AGGAUUAUAGUUUAAUUAAAACAUAUGAAUUGCACUCAUAAAAUAUUGAUAUAAUUUAUCUUA